rnacentral:rRNA from 1 species
UGAGGAAUAUUGGUCAAUGGGUGCAAGCCUGAACCAGCCAUCCCGCGUGAAGGACGACUGCCCUAUGGGUUGUAAACUUCUUUUGUAUAGGGAUAAACCUACCCUCGUGAGGGUAGCUGAAGGUACUAUACGAAUAAGCACCGGCUAACUCCGUGCCAGCAGCCGCGGUAAUACGGAGGGUGCAAGCGUUAUCCGGAUUUAUUGGGUUUAAAGGGUGCGUAGGCGGCGAUAUAAGUCAGUGGUGAAAUAUUUCGGCUUAACCGAGAGACGGCCAUUGAUACUGUGUUGCUAGAAUAUGGUUGCUGUGAGUGGAAGGUGUGGUGUAGCGGAGAAAUGCUUAGAUAUCACACAGAAUAUCGAUUGCGAAGGCAGCUCACAAAGCCAUUAUUGACGCUGAGGCACGAAAGUGUGGGGAUCAAACA